rnacentral:rRNA from 1 species
GUGAUUCCAGAUUAGGCGAUAUCACACACUGAGUUUAAGCAUAUCAAUAAGUGAAGGAAAAGAAACUUACAAGGAUUCCCCUAGUAACGGCAAGCGAACUGGGAAAAGCCCAACUUAAGAAUCGGAUGACCCUAUCAUUUGAAUUGUAGUAUGAAGAAGCAUCAUCAGCGGCAUACCGAGCUCAAGUCCCUUGGAGGGUGCCAAAGAGGGUGAGAGCCCCGUUGUACUCUGACCCUACCGUACCACGAGGCACUAUCAACGAGUCGGGUUGUUUGGGAAUACAGCCCCAAUCGGGCGAUAAAAUUUGUCCAAGGCUAAAUACAGGUGAGAGGCUGAUAGCGAACAAGUACUGCGAGGGAAAGAUGAAAAGAACUUUGAAAAAAGAUUCAAAGAGUGCUUGAAAUUAUCGGGAGAGAAGCGGAUGGGGGUCGACGAUGCGUCCCGAUCGGAUGUGGAACGGCGACGAGGCUGGUCCGUCAAUCGACUCGGGGCUUGGACUAGAACGAAUUAAGGAGAUGGCCAAAGCUAGGGCUGUCAACACACCUACGAAAUGUCAUCGUCUUGAUUGUGGUGGACAGCGCACACCUUCGACAUGCCUGGGCACCUGCGCACUCUUGAUGCUGGCCUGCUGUCUCCCCAUUCGACCAGUCUUAAAACACGGACCAAGGAGUCUGACAUGUGUGCGAGUAAACCCAUAAGGUGUAAGGAAGCUGAUUAGCAUGAUUUCUCCGAGGGGUACAACGUCGACCAACCUCGAUCUUUUGAGAAAGGUUUGAGUGUGAGCAUACCUAUCGGGACCCAAAAGAUGAUGAACAAUGCCUGAGCAGGAUGACGCUAAAGGAAACUCUGGUGGAGGACUGUAGUGAUACUGACGUGUAAAUCAUUUCUUUAACUUUGGUAUAGGGACAAAAGACUAAUCAAACCAUGUAGUAGCUGGUUCCCUCCGACAUUUCCCUCAGGAUAGCUGGAGCUCGAGCGCAAAUUCUAUCUGAGGUGCAACGCCCUCAACCUAUUCUCAAACUUUAAAUAGGUAGGAUGACAUGGAUGCUUCAUUGAGCUGUGCCACAAAGUCGAGAGCUCCAAGUGGGCCAUUUUUGGUAAGCAGAACUGGCGAUACGUGAUGAACCAAAAGUCGGGUUAGGGUGCCCAACUGUGCACUAACCUAGAUACCACAAAGGGUGUUGGUCGAUUAAGACAGCAGGAUGAUGGUCAUGGAAGUAGAAAUCCGCUAAGGAGUGUGUAACAACUCACUUAUCGAAUCAGCUAGCCCUGAGAAUAGAGGGUGCUGAAAUGCACGACCUAUUCUCCAUAGUCGGGACAAGUGCCUAGCCUUGAUGAGUUGGAGGGCACGGCGAUCGUUGUAAAACCUUAGGCGUGAGCCCGUGCGGAAUGGCCAUCGGUAUGGGUCUUGGUAGUAGUAGCAAAUAUUCAAAUGGGAAUUUUGAAAUCCGAAGAGGGGAAUGGUUCCCAGUGAACUACAAUUGCACACUAGUUAGUCAAUCCUAAGGGUCAGGAGAAGCCCGACAGACAGCGCGUUUCACGUAUGUACCGAAAGGAAAUUCAGUUAAAAUUCCUUAAUAGGGACGCGGUGGUUGACGGCAAUGUUAGGGAGUCCGAAGAUGUCGAUGGGGGCCUUGGGAAGAGUUAUUUUUUUCUAUUUAACAGCCUGCCCACCUUGGAAAUGGCUCAGUUGGAGGUAUGGUCCAGCAACAGGAAGAGCACCCCACAUCUAGUGGUGUCCAGUACGUCCCCGACGGCCCUUGAAAAUUCUGAGGAUUGAGUACCGUCCAUGCAUGAUCGUAUGCAUAAUCACAUCAGGUCUCCAAGGUGAACAGCCUCUGAUCAAUGGAAAAUGUAGGCAAGAGAAGCCGACAAAAUGGAUCCAUAACUUCAGGAAAAGGAUUGGCUUUAAGGGCUGGGCACGGGGGUCCCAAUCUCGAACCCGUCGACUGUCGGUGGACUGCUCAAGCUGCUCCCACGGUAAGAGCGAGCCACUGUGUGUCGAUCGAGGAAUGGACUGGGAAUGAAUCCUUUGGGGGCCUUCUCUGGGCAUUGAACAGUAGACUCAGAACCAGUACAGACAAGGAGAAUCCAAUUAUUUAAUUAAAACAAAGCAUUGCGAUGGUCCCUGUGGAUGCUCACGCAAUGUGAUUUCUACCUAGUGCUCUAAAUGUCAAAGUGAAGAAAUUCAAUUAAGCGAGGCUAAACGACGGUAGUAACUAUGACUUUCUUAAGGUAGCCAAAUGCCUCAUCAUCUAAUUAGUGAUGCACAUGAAUGGAAUAAUGAGAUUCCCACUGUCCCUGUCUACUAUCCAAUGUAACCACAACCAAAGAAGCAGGCUUAGCAGAAUCAACGAGAAAAGAAGACCCUGUUGAGCUUGACUCUAGUCCGACUUGGUGAAAUGACUUGAGACGUAUAGGAUUAGUGGGAGCCAAAAGGCAAAAGUAAAAUACCACUACUUUUAACAUUAUUUUACUUAUUUUGUGAAUUAGAGGAGGGGACAUUGCCCCUCUUUUUCCACCCAAGGCUCGCUUUGCGGGCCGAUCCUGGCAGAAGACAUUGUCAGGUGGUGAGUUUGGCUGGGAUGACACAUCUAUUAAAAGAUAACAUAGGUGUCCUAAGAUGAGCUCAACAAGAACAGAAAUCUCGUGUGGAUCAGAAGGGUAAAAGCUUGUUUGAUUUUGAUUUUGAUUUCCAGUACAAAUAUGAACCGUGAAAGCAUGGCCUAACGAUCCUUUAGACCUUCAAAAUUUAAACCUAGAGGUGUUAAAAAAGUUACCACAGGGAUAAUUAGCUUGUGGCAGCCAAGCAUUCAUAGCGAUGUUACUUUUUAAUCCUUCGAUGUCGGCUCUUCCUAUCAUUGUGAAGUAGAAUUCUCCAAGUGCUGGAUUGUUCAUGCACCAAUAGGUAACGUGAGCUAGGUUUAGACUAUCAUGAGACAGGUUAGUUUUAACCUACCGAUGAAAGUGUUGCAAUAGUAAUUUAACCUAGUACGAGAGGAACUGCUGAUUCGUAUAAUUGGUCAUUGUGCAUGGUUAAAAAGCCAAUGACGUGAAGCUCCCUGCGCUAGAUUAUGACUGAAUACCUCUAAGUUAGGAUUCGAGCUAGAACCGAUGCACACAACCUCCGUCCACUUGCCGACCCGCAGUAUGGGCCUUACGGUCCCCAGGGACACAUGUCAUUGGCCAAGCCCUCAUAGCGAACGUGCUGCAUUGGUCAUCUUGAAGUACAAUUUCCAUCGAGUGGUGGGUAGAAUCCUUUGCAGACGACUUAAAUACCUGAUGGGGUAUUGUAAGCGGCAAAGUGGCCUCGCUGCCAAGAUCUACUGAGAUUU